AUUGAACGCUGGCGGCAGGCCUAACACAUGCAAGUCGAACGGUAACAGGAAACAGCUUGCUGUUUCGCUGACGAGUGGCGGACGGGUGAGUAAUGUCUGGGAAACUGCCUGAUGGAGGGGGAUAACUACUGGAAACGGUAGCUAAUGCCGCAUAACGUCGCAAGACCAAAGAGGGGGACCUUCGGGCCUCUUGCCAUCGGAUGUGCCAAGAUGGGAUUAGCUAGUAGGUGGGGUAACGGCUCACCUAGGCGACGAUCCCUAGCUGGUCUGAGAGGAUGACCAGCCACACUGGAACUGAGACACGGUCCAGACUCCUACGGGAGGCAGCAGUGGGGAAUAUUGCGCAAUGGGCGCAAGCCUGAUGCAGCCAUGCCGCGUGUAUGAAGAAGGCCUUCGGGUUGUAAAGUACUUUCAGCGGGGAGGAAGGGAGUAAAGUUAAUACCUUUGCUCAUUGACGUUACCCGCAGAAGAAGCACCGGCUAACUCCGUGCCAGCCGCCGCGGUAA
rnacentral:rRNA from 1 species